CCUAGGACCCCGCCCAGCCUCUCGCCUGAGCUCCAGGAGCUCUCCCCUCUCCGGUUCGUCGCCAUGGCCUCCGCUCCCCGCCGGCCUCCUCCGCCAAAAUUUGGUCGGGCCAAGCCCUCUCCCUCCGUUACACCACCACCAGAAGCAUCUACCACCUCACCAGAGCCUCCCUGACGCCCAUCCCCUCCUCUCCGUGGCUCCUCCGUCCUCCCCAAGGUCGCCCGAGCCCGCCAUUGCCGCCGUCCGCCCCGUCCAAGACCACGCGCUCCCCUGACUUCCUCGCUCUUCGUACCCCGCCUGGAUGGACGCGCCGUUCUUCCCCAAGCACCCCGGUGGCCGAAGCACCUCAAACGGUGGCCUCCUCUGUUCUGGAGCCGGCGUCGGGAGGAAGAAGGGAAGGAGCGGGAGGAGAGAGAAAGAGGAGUGGGACCCACCUGGCAGCGACUCUAGCGCCCGGCCCUGCCCCUGCCAGCUGGAUAAGUGGAAGCGGUCCGUGGCAGAAAACCCCUCCUAACUUUUUGCUCGUAACUCCGAUUGAGCCCCCUUCAGGAGAGAAACUUUUCCGGUGAAUCUUUCCGCGAUCCUUCCGCACUUCUCCCCGACGUAUUCUUCACCCCCAGGCAAGCCAUGACAACCACUUGCAUGAUUGCAUGUAGUAGCUAUGGUUUUCAACUUCAAUAUUUAAUAAAUCUCUGCUUGUUUGUCUACAACUGUUAUCAUUGUUUCAGUACUGCUUAUAGUUCCAUGUUCACCUUCGUGCUUUGAUUCGAUGCAUCUGGUUAUCAUGCUAGUAUUACUUUCAUAUGACAUGCUUGGUAGUUGUUGGUGUUAGUCAUGUUCUUCGGUGCAUGACUAUCGUCUGUUACCGAGUACCGUGUUUAUGCAUGUUUCCUUUGCAUCUAGCUGAUUAAAUGCUUGCAUGGUAGUAUUAUCAUUAUGCGCUUGCAUGGUAUUUAAUCCCGAUGCUAGUGGUCAUGUUAUGCUAUGGGUAGUGUGGUACUUGGGAUAUUCAUGCUCGUCAGUAUGCCAUGCUCAUUCGAUAUGUGAUUUAUUAUUGUUGAUAUGCUUGAUGAUUAUGUUGCACAUACAUGCUCAUGUUGGUAUCAUGCAUUAUGGUUGCGUCUUGUUAUAUUGUAUGACUCAACAUCAUUUGCAUUCAAGUUUAACCGGACUUUAAUUGAACUUGAACAUCUGUUGGCUGAGUCAUAGUGCCAUCGAAAUUGAGCUGACCAGUGCAACCACAUUUGCCUUUUAUGGGAAGGUCCUAACUGGGUCUAUUGUCAUGCCUCUCGCCGGUGCCUCCAACGAGGGAAGGUUAUGCACGGGUACUACCUUGGCCGGGUAGGACGACAUAAGCCUUGUGUGCCCGUUGUUGUUGUAAGGAUCCUUGUCCCCAUUUGGGACCGUUUAUGUUUUGCCAUGACGGCGGCCG